rnacentral:misc_RNA from 1 species
GUCCAGCCCAAAGACCAACGGCCACACAUAAAAAGAGCUCCCAAUUCUUGACAACUUUCUGAGUGCCAAAAUUAAAGAUGGUGAAGGAAGACGGAAGGCAAGUCCAUGUAACAAUUGCAAUUCCAAUUGUCAUAAGAGCAGUUGAUAUAAUAAGUUGGUGCUUCAGUGCUGGUUCAAUUUCUUUGACAGCCUUAAUUUCAAAAAAGUCAGUAGCAAAAAGGGUGGUUAUCAAACAAACAAGAAUCCCCAUGGAGCUUAUAAGCAGGGGGUAACACAUGGAUGUAAAAUCAUGUUCAAUUCCAAAAGACGAGAUGGAAGCCACCACAAGAGCAGCACAAGAUGACUCAGCAUAUGAACCAAAAAGAUCAGACCCCAUUCCAGCAAUGUCCCCAACAUUAUCCCCAACAUUAUCAGCAAUCACAGCAGGAUUUCUGGGAUCAUCUUCUGGAAUGUUCCUUUCAACCUUACCAACGAGAUCAGCACCAACAUCAGCAGCU